GCUUGUCUCAAAGAUUAAGCCAUGCAUAUCUAAGAAUAACUAACAUUAUCUUGAAUCUGUGAAUGGCUCAUUAUAUCAGUUAUAGUUUACAUGAUAGUCAAUACUACUUGGAUAACCGUAGUAAUUCUAGAGCUAAUACAUGCGUCAAACCUCGACUUCUGGGAGAGGUGUAUUUAUUAGAUGGAAACCAAUGCGGGGCAACCCGGUAUAUGGUGAUUCAUAAUAACUUUCGGAUCGAUCUUCGGAUCGAUGCAUCAUUCAAGUUUCUGCCCUAUCAGCUUUGGAUGGUAGGGUAUUGGCCUACCAUGGCUUUAACGGGUAACGGAGAAUUAGGGUUCGAUUCCGGAGAGGGAGCCUGAGAAAUGGCUACCACAUCCAAGGAAGGCAGCAGG
rnacentral:rRNA from 1 species